GUUUGAUGAGGUCAUUGUAGGUCUCCUCCUUUUUGGAUAGGAAGCUGAAGAUGUUGACGUCCUUGGAUGCUGUACUUCCAGCCAUCUGUAGGGCCUUCCGGGAGUGUGGAGAGCUCUCAAAGGAUUCCUUGCGCCGCCGCCGCCUCUUUUUAAUGGCUUUGUGUACUUCCACAAACAUGCUCACCUUCCAGUUGACAAAGAGGGACAGCCAAGCCAGCCCCAGGGGGGCUCUUUGAGGCAACUGUUGAAUAACCAGCUCCUGAGUGUGAAUCUUUCUGCUCCUUUCUCUAUUCCUCCCAGCUAGUGAGCACAUCACACAGCACAGUUAAAAAUGGAAUGGAAAGUCGACAUUGGGGGUGCUGGCAGCCUCUGCCCCUGGGAGGGCCUAACAGAUUUACUGUGAAUGAUGGUUGGGUCGAGAUGACCCAGGAAGCACUGACCUGGCAAGAACCACUCUGAACUGUCUUUACCCUCCUCCAAGACGGAGCCUGCCUUCCUGCCUUCCUAGCUCGGCCCUCUUCAGUGUAACCCUCUCUCUGGUGGUCCUUGGUGGCUCCAACACUCUGUAUGCCCCUCUGUGACAACACACUCUAGAAAGUCUUUCCCACCUUCACCCCACAGCUCCAGAGCUGCUUCUCCCUUCUAGAA
rnacentral:lncRNA from 1 species